GCAUGCCUAGGGAAUGACAGGCAUCUCCAGAGGCAGGCUGCAUCCACCUCGGCUGGGGUGUCGUCAUUGGCUGCCUAUUAGAAAAACUACAGGACAAUGCAUACCACCGAUGCCGACUGUAAACAUAGGGGAUAUGUGUUCACUUAGCAUGGACUUCUGGGAGGGGCUAAGGAAGGGCGGUCUGGAGUUUUAUUGAAUAGAGCAGUGUGUAUUAGGCUGCCUGCCUGCCUGCCCUCUUGCUCUGCUCCUGCUUAAAGAAAUCAGUCCUUCCUUUCCGACUUAGUCCCCGGGAAGAAGUUUCAGCCUACGAGAUCUUAAAGCAACUUGUGCUACUUCAUUUGAAGAGAAUCAGGUAAUCAUUGAAAAGCUUGAAGAUCAUCCAGCCGAAUUCAUAGGGACUGGUAAUCAACCAGAGGUUCACGAGCAGACAUUUGAUUGCUUACCUAUCCAGACAUUCUCUGGUCUCCCUAAACCUGAACCCACACCAUGGAUGAUUUUGAACGUCGCAGAGAACUCAGGAGGCAAAAGCGAGAAGAGAUGCGUCUGGAAGCAGAAAGGUAAGGUAUCUCUGUUCUGUUA